CAGUAGCCGCGGUAAUACGUAGGGUGCGAGCGUUAAUCGGAAUUACUGGGCGUAAAGCGUGCGCAGGCGGUUGUGUAAGACAGGUGUGAAAUCCCCGGGCUUAACCUGGGAACUGCGCUUGUGACUGCACAGCUAGAGUAUGGCAGAGGGGGGUGGAAUUCCAUGUGUAGCAGUGAAAUGCGUAGAGAUGUGGAGGAACACCGAUGGCGAAGGCAGCCCCCUGGGCCAAUACUGACGCUCAUGCACGAAAGCGUGGGGAGCAAACAGGAUUAGAUACCCCUGUAGUCCCUGUCUCUUAUAC
rnacentral:rRNA from 1 species